GAUGAACGCUGGCGGCGUGCCUAAUACAUGCAAGUCGAGCGAACAGACGAGGAGCUUGCUCCUCUGACGUUAGCGGCGGACGGGUGAGUAACACGUGGAUAACCUACCUAUAAGACUGGGAUAACUUCGGGAAACCGGAGCUAAUACCGGAUAAUAUAUUGAACCGCAUGGUUCAAUAGUGAAAGACGGUUUUGCUGUCACUUAUAGAUGGAUCCGCGCCGCAUUAGCUAGUUGGUAAGGUAACGGCUUACCAAGGCAACGAUGCGUAGCCGACCUGAGAGGGUGGUGGCCCCCACGGGACCUGCAACCCGGUCCAGCCUCCUCCGGGGGGCAGCAGAGGGAAUUCUCCCGCAAUGGCCGAAGACCUGACGGACCCACGCCGAUUGAGUAAGAAAGUUUUUCGGAUCUAAAACCUUUUUUAUUGGGGAAAAAAAAUUGUGAAAGUAACUCUCCCCUUCUGGACGGUCCCUAAUCAAAAACCCCCGGCUAACUACGUC
rnacentral:rRNA from 1 species